rnacentral:rRNA from 1 species
UACGUAGGGAGCAAGCGUUGUCCGGAAUCAUUGGGCGUAAAGCGCGCGUAGGUGGCCCCAUAAGUCCGCUGUGAAAGUCAAAGGCUCGACCUUUGAAAGCCGGUGGAUACUGUGGGACUAGAGUACGGAAGAGGCGAGUGGAAUUCCUGGUGUAGCGGUGGAAUGCGCAGAUAGUCAGGAGGAACACCAAUAGCGAAGGCAGCUCGCUGGGACGUUACUGACACUGAGGCGCGAAAGCGUGGGGAGCGAACAGG